rnacentral:rRNA from 1 species
GAUGAACGCUGGCGGCGUGCCUAAUACAUGCAAGUCGAGCGAACGGACUAGAAGCUUGCUUCUCUGAUGUUAGCGGCGGACGGGUGAGUAACACGUGGAUAACCUACCUAUAAGACUGGGAUAACUUCGGGAAACCGGAGCUAAUACCGGAUGAUAUUUUGAACCGCAUGGUUCAAAAGUGAAAGACGGUCUUGCUGUCACUUAUAGAUGGAUCCGCGCUGCAUUAGCUAGUUGGUAAGGUAACGGCUUACCAAGGCAACGAUGCAUAGCCGACCUGAGAGGGUGAUCGGCCACACUGGAACUGAGACACGGUCCAGACUCCUACGGGAGGCAGCAGUAGGGAAUCUUCCGCAAUGGGCGAAAGCCUGACGGAGCAACGCCGCGUGAGUGAUGAAGGUCUUCGGAUCGUAAAACUCUGUUAUUAGGGAAGAACAUAUGUGUAAGUAACUGUGCACAUCUUGACGGUACCUAAUCAGAAAGUCACGGAUAACUACGUG